rnacentral:rRNA from 1 species
UAGGGAAUCUUCCGCAAUGGGCGAAAGCCUGACGGAGCAACGCCGCGUGAGUGAUGAAGGGUUUCGGCUCGUAAAACUCUGUUAUUAGGGAGGAACAAACGUGUAAGUAACUGUGCACGUCUUGACGGUACCUAAUCAGAAAGCCACGGCUAACUACGUGCCAGCAGCCACGGUAAUACGUAGGUGGCAAGCGUUAUCCGGAAUUAUUGGGCGUAAAGCGCGCGUAGGCGGUUUCUUAAGUCUGAUGUGAAAGCCCACGGCUCAACCGUGGAGGGUCAUUGGAAACUGGGAAACUUGAGUGCAGAAGAGGAAAGUGGAAUUCCAUGUGUAGCGGUGAAAUGCGCAGAGAUAUGGAGGAACACCAGUGGCGAAGGCGACUUUCUGGUCUGUAACUGACGCUGAUGUGCGAAAGCGUGGGGAUCAAACAG